rnacentral:rRNA from 1 species
CCUACGGGGGGCAGCAGUGGGGAAUAUUGGACAAUGGGGGGAACCCUGAUCCAGCGACGCCGCGUGAGUGAAGAAGUAUUUCGGUAUGUAAAGCUCUAUCAGCAGGGAAGAAAGAAAUGACGGUACCUGACUAAGAAGCCCCGGCUAACUACGUGCCAGCAGCCGCUGUAAUACGUAGGGGGCAAGCGUUAUCCGGAUUUACUGGGAGUAAAGGGAGCGUAGACGGCGAUGCAAGUCUGAUGUGAAAGGCGGGGGCUCAACCUCCGGACUGCUGUGGAAACUGUAUGUCUUGAGUUCAGGAGAGGUAAGUGGAAUUCCUAGUGUAGCGGUGAAAUGCGUAGAUAUUAGGAGGAACACCAGUGGCGAAGGCGGCUUACUGGACUGUAACUGACGUUGAGGCUCGAAAGCGUGGGGAGCAAACAGGAUUAGAUACCCCUGUAGUC